rnacentral:lncRNA from 1 species
CUUUUCUAUUUAAUAAAUACCCGAAAAUUUGGGUUCAGUUCGAUUCCCGUUAGAACCGAACCGAAUCACACCAUAUCCAACCCUAACCAUAACUAUUGCCAAAAGAAAGAAGAAGCCAAAAUCAAAUCAUAAAUCAAGCAUUAUGGCAUUUUACUUUUGUCAUGUCUCAACCUCUAACUUAGUGAAAGUGGCUCCCUUAGUAGCUGUUGCUGAUGGGAAAUAAUGCUGCCAAUUCGGUUCACUUGUAUGCCUUGAUUAACUCUUUCAUGCUCACGGAAGAUGACGUUUCUGAAGUCGCGACAAGGGUGCACGCGGUGGAUGGUGCGGGAAGUUUGGCGGACUAGGAGGCGGAGGAGAGUAAAAGUAGAACCAUGCAGGAGGUGGUGGUGACAAGGCUACAUGUGGCGGAUGGUUGGGCAAGUGUGACGGACUAGGAGGUGGAGGAGAGUAAUAGUAGAACCACGCAGGAGGCGGAGGUGGCGGUGGUGUUCUGUGCAACCUUUUUCGUUGAG